GGAAUAGCUCAGUGGUAGAGUGGGUGCUUUGCAUGCAUAAGGUCCUGGGUUCAAUUCCCUGUACAUCCA
rnacentral:tRNA from 1 species